rnacentral:rRNA from 1 species
GACGAACGCUGGCGGCGUGCUUAACACAUGCAAGUCGAACGGAAAGGCCCUGCUUUUGUGGGGUGCUCGAGUGGCGAACGGGUGAGUAACACGUGAGUAACCUGCCCUUGACUUUGGGAUAACUUCAGGAAACUGGGGCUAAUACCGGAUAGGAGCUCCUGCUGCAUGGUGGGGGUUGGAAAGUUUCGGCGGUUGGGGAUGGACUCGCGGCUUAUCAGCUUGUUGGUGGGGUAGUGUCUUACCAAGGCUUUGACGGGUAGCCGGCCUGGGAGGGUGACCGGCCACAUUAGGACUGGAAUGAGACACAGACUCCUACGGGAGGCAACAGUGGGGAAUAGUGUACAAUGGGCGGAAGCCUGAUGCGGCAACGCCGCGUGCGGGAUAACGGCCUUCGGGUUGUAUACCGCUUUCGCCUGUGACGAGGCGUGAGUGACGGUAAUGGGUAAAGAAGCACCGGCUAACUACGUG